UACGUAGGGGGCGAGCGUUGUCCGGAUUCAUUGGGCGUAAAGCGCGCGUAGGCGGCCCGGCAGGUCGGGGGUGAAAGCCCGGGGCCCAACCCCGGGACCGCCCCCGAAACCGCCGGGCUCGAGUCCCGCAGGGGAUGGCGGAACUCCCGGUGUAGCGGUGGAAUGCGCAGAUAUCGGGAGGAACACCGGUGGCGAAGGCGGCCAUCUGGGCGGGCACUGACGCUGAGGCGCGAGAGCCGGGGGAGCGAACAGG
rnacentral:rRNA from 1 species